UAGAAAAAGUGAUAUUGACACCAUAAAAGAUAUAUUUAUUCAAUUAAAUUAAAAUUAACUAAAAAAUUUGACGAUUUUUUUAUAUGAAAAAAAUAAUAAGAGAUAACACCUAGCUUUUUAAAAUCUAUUUUCUCUCUAAUGGAAGUUUUAAUAAUCUUGUAAGAUUUCACCCAUUGAAAAAACAUCUACAAAAGUAUUUUGCUAAAUCAGACUUUCAACUAUUAAUGUUAUCUUUAUCUAUAAAUUAACUUUGUUGACGUAAUCAUACAAUAAUUUGCAGCAUUAAAUAUUUUUUAUAUUACUUAAAUAUUGUAUUUCUUAAAAAUAAAAUG
rnacentral:lncRNA from 1 species